rnacentral:rRNA from 1 species
AACGAACGCUGGCGGCAUGCCUAACACAUGCAAGUCGAACGAGACCUUCGGGUCUAGUGGCGCACGGGUGCGUAACGCGUGGGAACCUGCCCUUAGGUUCGGAAUAACUCCCCGAAAGGGGUGCUAAUACCGGAUAUUGUCUUCGGACCAAAGAUUUAUCGCCUUUGGAUGGGCCCGCGUUGGAUUAGCUAGUUGGUAGGGUAAAAGCCUACCAAGGCGACGAUCCAUAGCUGGUCUGAGAGGAUGAUCAGCCACACUGGGACUGAGACACGGCCCAGACUCCUACGGGAGGCAGCAGUGGGGAAUAUUGGACAAUGGGCGAAAGCCUGAUCCAGCAAUGCCGCGUGAGUGAUGAAGGCCUUAGGGUUGUAAAGCUCUUUUACCCGGGAUGAUAAUGACAGUACCGGGAGAAUAAGCUCCGGCUAACUCCGU